UCCGAGUUGACCCCGGCAGUCUCCUAUGAGUCCCCGCCAUUACGCGCUGGCAACAUAGAACGAGGGUUGCGCUCGUUGCGGGACUUAACCCAACAUCUCACGACACGAGCUGACGACAACCAUGCACCACCUGUGCAGGCUCCGAAGAGCGCCCGCUUUCACGGGUUUCACCCUGCAUGUCAAGCCCAGGUAAGGUUCUUCGCGUCGCAUCGAAUUAAGCCGCAUGCUCCGCCGCUUGUGCGGGCCCCCGUCAAUUCCUUUGAGUUUCAAUCUUGCGAUCGUACUUCCCAGGUGGGAUACUUAAUGCGUUAGCUGCGGCACCGGAGGGGUCGAUACCCCCGACACCUAGUGCCCAACGUUUACGGCGUGGACUAC
rnacentral:misc_RNA from 1 species